rfam:Aerococcus viridans ATCC 11563 = CCTG 4311 strain ATCC 11563 contig00010, whole genome shotgun sequence.
AUUCCUCUGUAGUGUUCGCGAUUUCUUUACAUGUGUUGACCGAACAAUUAGCUAUCUAGGGAACUGCCAAGGUUUAUGGAUAUAACGCCUCAUCACGAGGACUGUUGAAGUAGAUAUGUGGUUCCCACCUGUAUAUCAAUGCGGGUUCAAUACAGAUAGAUCUCAUCACGGCACAUAACGGAGCUCUU